rnacentral:tRNA from 1 species
UAGCUCAGUUGGUAGAGCAAAGGACUGAAAAUCCUUGUGUCCCCGGUUCGAUUCCUGG